rnacentral:lncRNA from 1 species
CAUGAUGUUUCUGUUCUUUAUUUACAUCUUAGAAAACCAUGAGAAUUCAAAGCAAAGUUUUUUGCUGGACAUUUGGUCACAAUCUCCUGAUCACAUCUGUAAAACUACCCAUUUAUUGAACUGAUCCCAAAAGUAAAGAUCUUCAUGAGGAUAAAGCAGUGCAACCAUAUGCCAAUAUUGAAGAAACAAACUAUAAGAACCCCAAUUAUUUCAAAGUGUUGACCCCAUCCAAAGACAUUAUCCCUUGUAUGACAUUUGUACUCUUGUUGCUAACCUGAUCAAAUUGCAGACACACCUCAACAGCAGCUUAAAGACUGGUCCUGAAGAACACUAACUGAUCUAAUUUCCAUUAAAGCAGACAGAGAGGGAACAUUCAAAACCCUGCAUUUAAUUUCUACUACACAAAAGGCAGCAAGACAUUUAGGAUGUAUCUUUGCAGCUAAAUUGUGCCCUGAGCUGCACACGUGAGUCCCUUGUCUCCCAAGGCAUAUUCUAACCCAAGAAUGGAACAAGUUGAAAAGCUGCAUGCUAAAAAUAUAAACCCAACUGUUUGCAUUCUUUCUGUUACUAAAGUACUUUGUAAGUACAGAUAUUACCCAACAAUGUGAUCAUUCUUUAAAAUGUCUGUAUUUUUCUUUCUUAAUCCUGAAAAAUUCAAAUUCAGACCAUUUUGCUUUUCAGAAAAAAAAAUGGAAGUUCUUCUCCCACCCUUCUUCACAAAACUAUUUUUGGGUAUAAGCAAACACAGACUGUACAUAUACCAUACUGGUGACCUGGAGUCUUAUUUGCAAUGUGUAGACAAGAAGAACAACCUGCUGAGAUGGACUCACAGAGUCUAUGAAAUCCUGCCAGGGAGCAAUGAAAUCUGCUGUAUGGUACAUUGUUUCCUGUAGUUUCUUGCAGUGAAGAGCUCAAAAUCUGCCAAAACACUUUGCCCUUUGUGACUCUGCUCAUUGAGAGGUACUUACUGUGCAGCAUCUCAUAUUCAGAUGUGAGCAUUAAUGUAUCUCACAAAGAGACUCUCAACAAAGUGCUCAACAAACAUUUGGUACAGACUAACCUCCAUCCACAAACAGCACCCAAUGUACACACAAAUGUAUCCACAUCUCAGUUAAAAGUCUCAUAAGUCUCUUAAGAAAUAUGUAUCACAUCUGGUUUAACCUAAGUAAUUUAUCCAAGUCUCUUCAGUGAAUAGUGACACCAAAACCUAGCUUAUGUAAGUGGGUGCAAAUGUCUGCAGGAUUUAGCCCACAGUCUGGCUGUCAGGAUUGAAUUGACUGAAUCGCAUGUACUUUACACUGUACACCUUACAGUCAUCAAAAGCCAUGACUGUCCUGCUUCAAAAGCCCAGCAUGAAUCUUCCUAACAGAAACUUAAACCACUUCCUACUCCUGUUUCGGAUCAUAUACCACCUGACAUGGCUCAGAAACCAUCCAGGACAGUCUCCUGCAAUUUACCUUUUACAGCGUACAGGCUUUCUGCAAAUUGACAAAUACUUCACCUCUUUAGAAACUGCUAUUAAUCAAGGUCUAGACAAACAUUCAGCUGUAAGGGACUGGGCACACUGAAGAUGAAGUGACAGCACCAAGUGGAAGGAUGGCCGGGAAGGUCAUAGUCCACACAUUUCUAGAAAAUUAC